UACGUAGGGUGCAAGCGUUGUCCGGAUUUAUUGGGCGUAAAGAGCUCGUAGGCGGUUUGUCGCGUCUGCCGUGAAAGUCCGGGGCUCAACUCCGGAUCUGCGGUGGGUACGGGCAGACUAGAGUGAUGUAGGGGAGACUGGAAUUCCUGGUGUAGCGGUGAAAUGCGCAGAUAUCAGGAGGAACACCGAUGGCGAAGGCAGGUCUCUGGGCAUUAACUGACGCUGAGGUGCGAAAGCGUGGGGAGCAAACAGG
rnacentral:rRNA from 1 species